UGGGGAAUAUUGCACAAUGGGCGCAAGCCUGAUGCAGCCAUGCCGCGUGUAUGAAGAAGGCCUUCGGGUUGUAAAGUACUUUCAGCAGGGAGGAAGGUGUCAAGGUUAAUAACCUUUGCAAUUGACGUUACCGACAGAAGAAGGACCGGCUAACACCGUGCCAGCAGCCGCGGUAAUACGGAGGGUGCAGGCGUUAAUCGGAAGUACUUGGCGUAAAGCGCACGCAGGCGGUUUGUUAAGUCAGAUGUGAAAUCCCCGGGCUCAACCUGGGAACUGCAGCUGAUACUGGCAAGCUUGAGUCUCGUAGAGGGGGGUAGAAUUCCAGGUGUAGCGGUGAAAUGCGUAGAGAUCUGGAGGAAUACCGGUGGCGAAGGCGGCCCCCUGGACGAAGACUGACGCUCAGGUGCGAAAGCGUGGGGAGCAAACAGG
rnacentral:rRNA from 1 species